AUUCUCCUAGUAUUAAUAUCAAUACAAAUGACUUCCAAUUAUUUAAUCUUGGUUAAAACCCAGGGGAGAAUA
rnacentral:tRNA from 1 species